GUGGUGGUGAUGGUGAAGGCCUUCAAAAGCCAGCCUCUUCCAUGCUGCACCUCUGAAGGGAGCUCUUGAAUAGUCUACAGGAAGAAAGAGAGGAGGCCUGCAGAUACGCCCUACUCAGCUGAAGUUACCCUGCCAACAUCCACACAGACUGCGCUUUGAAAGGAGGGAAUGGCUGAAGGAGACCCGAGAUUCCUCUUCUCCUGUUAUGGAAGUCGCAACUCUUGUAUGCAGUAUCUGCCUCCAGAAGCCAUGUGGUGACACUGGAACGACAGCAUCCCAGCCUUGGACAGACCAGGCUGCCGAUUUGAGAAGGUGAGAGGCGUAACGAGGAAUUUGGUUUCAGCUACCUGGACCCAGUGGUGCAGAAUUUUUAUUGUCC